GACGAACGCUGGCGGCGUGCCUAAUACAUGCAAGUAGAACGCUGAAGGAGGAGCUUGCUCUUCUGGAUGAGUUGCGAACGGGUGAGUAACGCGUAGGUAACCUGCCUGGUAGCGGGGGAUAACUAUUGGAAACGAUAGCUAAUACCGCAUAACAGUAGAUGUUGCAUGACAUUUACUUAAAAGGUGCAAUUGCAUCACUACCAGAUGGACCUGCGUUGUAUUAGCUAGUUGGUGGGGUAACGGCUCACCAAGGCGACGAUACAUAGCCGACCUGAGAGGGUGAUCGGCCACACUGGGACUGAGACACGGCCCAGACUCCUACGGGAGGCAGCAGUAGGGAAUCUUCGGCAAUGGACGGAAGUCUGACCGAGCAACACCGCGUGAGUGAAGAAGGUUUUCGGAUCGUAAAGCUCUGUUGUAAGAGAAGAACGAGUGUGAGAGUGGAAAGUUCACACUGUGACGGUAUCUUACCAGAAAGGGACGGCUAACUACGUG
rnacentral:rRNA from 1 species